UAUCUGGUUGAUCCUGCCAGUAGUCAUAUGCUUGUCUCAAAGAUUAAGCCAUGCAUGUCUAAGUAUAAGCAAUUUAUACAGUGAAACUGCGAAUGGCUCAUUAAAUCAGUUAUCGUUUAUUUGAUAGUUCCUUUACUACAUGGUAUAACCGUGGUAAUUCUAGA
rnacentral:rRNA from 1 species